rnacentral:rRNA from 1 species
AUGGCGUCGCCUCUGACGGAGAUCCCGGACCACCUCCUGGCGGAGAUCUUCCUCUGGCUUCCCAUCCCGGAAGACCUCGUCUGUGCCUCGGCCGCCUGCGUCUCCUUCCGCCGACUCACCACCGAUGGCUCCUUCCUCCGCAGAUUCUGCCGCCUCCACGCACCAUCAGUCCUCGGAUUCCUCCAGGCAGGCGGCAUGUUCCGUCCCACCAUGCCGCCUCACCCCUCCGCGCCGGCCGCCCGCGUGCUCGCCCGCGCCGCUGACUUCUACUUCUCUUUCAUCCCCUCCCGUUGCCAAUGGACCGUGCAGGACAUCCGCGACGGCCGCGUCCUCCGC